rnacentral:pre_miRNA from 12 species
GUGGGAGGGGGCUCAAAACGUUCUGGAGUGCGUGUCAGAGGCGCGUUUACAAAGCUGCUGUUAGAAAUUCUGUAAAUGCACUAUCUGGUACGACAUUCCAGCACUUACAGUCAAAGAAUGUUUGC